rnacentral:rRNA from 1 species
UACGUAGGGGGCAAGCGUUGUCCGGAUUUAUUGGGCGUAAAGCGCGUGUAGGCGGCCAGGUAGGUCCGCUGUGAAAACCCGAGGCUCAACCUCGGGACGUCGGCGGAAACCAUUUGGCUAGAGUCCGGAAGAGGAGAGUGGAAUUCCCGGUGUAGCGGUGAAAUGCGCAGAUAUCGGGAAGAACACCCGUAGCGAAGGCGGCUCUCUGGGACGGUACUGACGCUGAGACGCGAAAGCGUGGGGAGCGAACAGG